rnacentral:rRNA from 1 species
UGAACCGGCGAUGUUUCAUUCAAAUUUCUGCCCUAUCAACUUUCGACGGUAGGGUAGUGGCCUACCGUGGUGGUAACGGGUGACGGAGGAUUAGGGUUCGAUUCCGGAGAGGGAGCCUGAGAAACGGCUACCACAUCCAAGGAAGGCAGCAGGCGCGCAAAUUACCCAAAUCCCAACUCGGGGAGGUAGUGACAAGAAAUAACGAUGCUCCGGCCUCUGGUCGGGUAAUCGGAAUGAGAACAAUUUAAAUCCCUUAUCGAGGAUCAAUUGGAGGGCAAGUCUGGUGCCAGCAGCCGCGGUAAUUCCAGCUCCAAUAGCGUAUAUUUAAGUUGCUGCGGUUAAAAAGCUCGUAGUCGGAUUUCGGGUGGCGCCUACCGGUCCGCCUUUGGUGAGUACUGGUAGGUACCUCCUUUCUGCCGAGGACGGGGUUCUGGGCUUAAUUGUCUGGGCCCCGGAGUCGGCGAUGUCACUUUGAGUAAAUUAGGGUGUUCAAAGCAGGCUUAUGCUCUGUAUACACUAGCAUGGGAUGACACGAUAGGACUUCGGUUUAUCUUGUCGGUCUGUAGGUCGGAGUAAUGAUAAAGAGGGACAGUCGGGGGCAUUCGUAUUUCGUAGUCAGAGGUGAAAUUCUUGGAUUUACGGAAGACGAACUUCUGCGAAAGCAUUUGCCAAGGAUGUUUUCAUUGAUCAAGAACGAAAGUCGGGGGCUCGAAGACGAUUAGAUACCGUCGUAGUCUCGACCAUAAACGAUGCCGA